rnacentral:rRNA from 1 species
CUGAAGAAAAGCCUUGCGUCUGAUUAGCUAGUUGGUGGGGCUAAAGGCCUACCAAGGCGACGAUCAGUAGCUGGGUCUGAGAGGAUGAGCAGCCACACUGGGACUGAGACACGGCCCAGACUCCUACCGGGAGGCAGCAGUGGGGAAUUUUCCGCAAUGGGCGAAAGCCUGACGGAGCAACGCCGCGUGAAGGGAGGAAGGUCUUUGGAUUGUAAACCUCUUUCUCAAGGAAGAAGUUCUGACGGUACAUUGAGGAAUCGCCUCGGCUAACUCCGUGCCAGCACGCCGCGGUAAUACGGGGGAGCAAGCGUUAUCCGGAAUUAUUGGGCGUAAUAGCGUCCGCAGGUGGUCAGCCAAGUCUGCUAGUCAAAUCAGGUUGCUUAACGACCUAAAGGCGGUGGAAACUGGCAGACUAGAGAGCAGUAGAGGUAGCAGGAAUUCCCAGUGUAGCGGUGAAAUGCAUAGAGAUUGGGAAGAACAUCGGUGGCGAAAGCGUUCUACUGGGCUGUAUCUGACACUCAGGGACGAAAGCUAGGGGAGCGAAAGGGAUUAGAUACCCCUGUACCUCCUAGCCGUAAACGAUGGAUACUAGGCGUGGCUUGUAUCGACCCGAGCCGUGCCGAAGCUAACGCGUUAAGUAUCCCGCCUGGGGAGAACGCACGCAAGUGUGAAACUCAAAGGAAUUGACGGGGGCCCGCACAAGCGGUGGAGUAUGUGGUUAAAUUCGAUGCAACGCGAAGAACCUUACCAAGACUUGACAUGUCGCGAACCCUGGUGAAAGCUGGGGGUGCCUUCGGGUGCGCGAACACAGGUGGUGCAUGGCUGUCGUCAGCUCGUGUCGAGAGAUGUUGGGUUAAGUCCCGCAAACGAGCGCAACCCUCGUUUCUUAGUUGCCAGCAUUAAGUUGGGGGACUCUAAGGAGACUCCGGUGACAAACCGGAGGAAGGUGGGGGAUGAGUCAAGUCAGCAUGCCCCCUUACGCUUGGGGCCGAACACACGUACUAACAAUGGAUCGCGGAACAAAGGGGUCAGCCGAAACCUUCGCGGAGAUUAUCGUAUCUUCAUGGACGAU